rnacentral:rRNA from 1 species
AUUGAACGCUGGCGGCACGCCUAACACAUGCAAGUCGAGCGGUAACAGGAUUUGUAGCAAUACAAAUUGCUGACGAGCGGCGGACGGGUGAGUAACACGUAGGAACCUACCCUUAAGCGGGGGAUAACUAAGGGAAACUUUAGCUAAUACCGCAUAUACUCGAGAGAGAAAAGCUACCCGUACGGGCGGCACUUGAGGAAGGGCCUGCGUCCGAUUAGCUAGUUGGUGAGGUAAAGGCUAACCAAGGCGAUGAACGGUAACUGCUCUGAGAGGACAGCCAGGCAAACUGGGACUGAGACACGGCCCAGACUUCUACGGGAGGCAGCAGUGGGGAAUAUUGGACAAUGGGGGCAACCCUGAGCCAGCGAUGCCGCGUGAGUGAAGAAGGCCCUCGGGUCGUAAAUCUCUUUAGGUUAGGAAGAAGGGCACUUGUUUAAUAGACAAGUUUUUUGACGGUACUAACAGAAUAAGCACCGGCAAACUCUGUGCCAGCCGCCGCCGUAA